UGGCAGAAUUAUUUUUCUUUUAGAAAAAGGAGGGAAACACUUGAGAGAACAGUCAUGGAGAGUGAACCAAGAGACACCCAGAGAGCUACAGGACUUUGUGCUUCAGGGAUUUAAUUGCACUGUGUGAGUUGCCAUGCUGUAGGCAGAAGGUCACAGCUCAGGAAAACCUGCACAUCAUCCUGAGACUUCUCAGCACACUGUAGCCUUCCAUCUACAGGCCUCCUUAGAGCCACAGGACCUUGAGUGGACUCCGUGGCUGCUUCAGCUGAGCAACAUUUCAUCCAAAUCAACAUCACAUUGUGACAGGUUGAUGCAAAUGCAAGAACCACUUGCAGUGGCCAAAUUUGAACUCUUCUUUGAGUCACGAUUCUAAGAUCAGUAAUUCAAAAUGACAUUUGCAAAAUCAUGACUGAACAGUAAAUUACAGAGAAGAAGAGCACAGAAGGUAACUCGUGAAACAUCUUAGAGUUUUCAAGGAUCUGCAGGUACGUGGGAUUCAGAAGUUUCAAUGGAGAGGAUCUGGCUACAUCUCAGACAUAAGACUUCAGUUCAAUAAUACUUUGAGUAUUAUGUCUUGGUAAAGAACAAGAUGGUCAAGUGCUGAACUACGUGGUUAAGUGUCUUCCUCAAAAGUUAU